UGUGCUCUUCCUGAUCUGAUCCUUUCUCCACUGCAUUCUUCUUGAGAAUCAAUUGUCUAUAUAAGUGUUGGUUUAGUUCUGAACAUUCUAUUCUGCUCCGUUAUUCUAUUUUCCUGAUUGAAACCAACACCAUACUUUCUGAUUACUGUAGCUCUAUAAAAAAUAAGUCUGAAAAUCAUAUAGUGUAAGUCUUCCAACUUUGUUUUUCUUGUUAAAAA